UAAUGACUUUCUUAUCUUUAAGUUAAACUAGUUUAAGAAUAAAAAAAUUCUUAUAUUAUAUAAUGACUUUCUUAUCUUUAAGUUAAACUAGUUUAAGAAUAAAAAAAUUCUUAUAUUAUAGAAAGACGAUAAGACCCUAAAACCUUCUUAUAUAAAUUUAUAUUUUACUGGGGCGGUAAUUUUUAAAUCAAAAAUCAUACAAACAUACUGAAUGACCUUAUCUACUUAUAAAAAAAACAAAAAGGUACUUUAGGGAUAACAGCAUAAUUUUUAUCUAGAGUCCCCAUCGACAUAAAAGAUUAUGACCUCGAUGUUGAAUUGAUUUAACUCCCUAGAGCAGAUUCUUGAAAAGUAGGUCUGUUCGACCUUUAAACAAUCACAUGAUCUG
rnacentral:rRNA from 1 species